GAGCCCGGUUGGUGAGAGCCUGGUGCUGAUGACGCCAAGGUCGCAGGUUCGAUCCCCGCAAGGGACA